AAUUCAUUUUCUCUUCAAUUGUCGAAUAAAUUGUUCGCCUUUUUUACUAAAGAUUUCCGUGCAGAGGGGCACUCUAAUGAGCUUAAAAUGAAUUAAAUUUUCGAAGAGCUAAUUUCUUUAAAAUGU